rnacentral:rRNA from 1 species
UUCUUUUAGAGAUAAUUAAAAGUAAUUUCUGCUCCAUGAAAAUUUAAAUAGCCGCAGAUUUCUGUGCUAAGGUAGCGUAAUCAAUUGUCUAUUAAUUGUAGACUAGUAUGAAUGAAAAUAUAAUUAAUAACUUUAUUAUUGGAAAAAAUUUAAAUUUAAGUUCAAUUAAAAAUGAUUGAAAGAUAAAUAGGGACGAGAAGACCCUAUAAAGCUUUAUAUAAAAUUUAUAAUUAAAUAAUUAUAAAAUUUUUUAUUUUAUUGGGGCAAUAUAUUAUGUUUAAUAGAUAUAAUAACUAAUUUUUUAAAAAAAUAUGAAAAUAUAGAUCCAUAAAUUAUGAAAAAUUGAAUAAGUUACUUUAGGGAUAACAGGAUAAUUUAAUUUGAAGAGUACUUAUUAAUAAAUUAGAUUAUUACCUCGAUGUUGAAUUAAUUAUAUUUUUUGGAGAAGAAACUAAAAAUAAUUUAACUGUUCGUUAAUUAAUAAAUUACA